UACGACUACAUAUCAGGCAUAUCAAUAAGCGGAGGAAAAGAAACUAACUAGGAUUCCCUCAGUAACGGCGAAGUGAAGCGGGAAGAGCUCAAAUUUGAAAUCUUCAAGGUUCUACCUUGACGAAUUGUAGUUUAAAGAAGUGUUUUCUGUUGGAGUUUUGGUAAAAGUUCUUUGGAAUAGGACAUCAUAGAGGGUGAGAAUCCCGUAUUUGACCAUUAUUUCCAGCUUUGUGAUACACUUUCAAAGAGUCGGAUUGUUUGGGAAUGCAGUCCAAAAUGGGUGGUAAAUUUCAUCUAAAGCUAAAUAUUGGCGAGAGACCGAUAGCGAACAAGUACCGUGAGGGAAAGAUGAAAAGAACUUUGAAAAGAGAGUUAAACAGUACGUGAAAUUGUCAAAAGGGAAGCGUUUGACACCAGUGUUGUUUUCUCGAAAAUCAAUUAAAAAUAGUUGGAUUUUGUGUUGUAUUGACCUUAACAGCUUGCUUCACUCUUUUCCAGCUUUUUUUAAUGCACUUUUCGUUUAACAAGUCAACAUCAGUUUCUUUUGUUGUAAAAGGGUCAUUGGAAGGUGGCUUUCUCUUCGGAGAAAGUGUUUAUAGCCUUUGAUCUCUGCAAUCGGAGAGACUGAGGUCUGCAGCGUAGAUCCUUCGGGGUUAGAUACAUUUGUGCUAAGCUACAGCUUUUCAUAGACAACUUGUUGACUAUGUUUAGUCUUGUGACUUACCCGCUUAUGCUAUUUUACCUACGCUUAGGAUGUUGAGCGCAUGUCUCUCUCUA
rnacentral:rRNA from 1 species